UCUUGAAUGUAAAUUUGAUUAGAUUUACCAGAGUACUAUGAAUCAUAUAAAAUUUAAAACUCAAAGGGCUUGGCGGUGUUUUAGACCUAUUAGGGGAACCUGUCCUGUAAUCGACAGUCCACGUUAAACCUGACCUUUUUUAGCAAUCAGCUUGUAUACCGUCGUCGCCAGGUAACUUUUAAAAAAUCAGAAGUUAGCUAAUGUAAUUUUUAUAAAUUAAAACGUCAGAUCAAGGUGCAGCCAAUAAAAAGGAAAGGAUGGGUUACAAUUAUAUUCUUAUAAUUACGGAAGAUUAUGUGAAAGCGUAAACGGAAGGAGGACUUAAAAGUAAAAUGUAUUACAUAAAUAAUUUGAAUGAGGCUCUGAAACGUGCACACAUCGCCCGUCGCUCUCGUUGAAAAAUGAGAUAAGUCGUAACAUAGCAGGGGUAAUGGAAAUUGCCCCUAAAUG
rnacentral:rRNA from 1 species